rnacentral:lncRNA from 1 species
CCACUGCGGUCAGCCUUCCCUGGUGGUGAGCUGCUGUCAGAACCUCCCCACUACUCCUCUGGGUGGCCCCAGUCUUGUGCCUAUUUCCCUCUCGUGGUCAUCAAGUCUCGCCCAGAUGGAGUCUCAGUUUUAUAAGGGGGAGUUUCCCUGCACAAGCUCUCUCUCUUUGUCUGCUGCCAUUCAUGUAAAAUGUGACUUGCUCCUCCUUGCCUUCCGUCAUGAUUGUGAUGCCUCCCAGCCAUGUGGAAAUGACUUGACCUCUUGCCCACCAGAUAACUCUUGUUAAAACAGAUUUCAAGUCAUAAUCUCUCCUGAAGACUCUUGAUUCAUUGUCAUGCAUCCCCUGGUACUAUUAUACACAUCCAUUAUAAGAAGAAAGCUAACAGAAAAUAUGCUUCCUUGCCAGAGUAUACUACUAAGUUGGAAUCACAGCAGUAUUUUCUUCUAUGAACUCUAUAGCUUAG